ACGCCGCGUGAGUGAUGAAGGUUUUCGGAUCGUAAAGCUCUGUUGUUAGGGAAGAACAAGUACCGUUCGAAUAGGGCGGUACCUUGACGGUACCUAACCAGAAAGCCACGGCUAACUACGUGCCAGCAGCCGCGGUAAUACGUAGGUGGCAAGCGUUGUCCGGAAUUAUUGGGCGUAAAGGGCUCGCAGGCGGUUUCUUAAGUCUGAUGUGAAAGCCCCCGGCUCAACCGGGGAGGGUCAUUGGAAACUGGGGAACUUGAGUGCAGAAGAGGAGAGUGGAAUUCCACGUGUAGCGGUGAAAUGCGUAAAGAUGUGGAGGAACACCAGUGGCGAAGGCGACUCUCUGGUCUGUAACUGACGCUGAGGAGCGAAAGCGUGGGGAGCGAACAGGAUUAGAUACCCUGGUAGUCCACGCCGUAAACGAUGAGUGCUAAGUGUUAGGGGGUUUCCGCCCCUUAGUGCUGCAGCUAACGCAUUAAGCACUCCGCC
rnacentral:rRNA from 1 species